UACCAAUAAAGGGUCUAGUGAUAAGCCUCGUUUGGUUAGGUGCCAUGAGUGUCAAGGAAUAGGUCACUAUAGGAAUGAAUGCCCUAGUUAUAAGAAGAACCAAAGAAAAGGGAAAGGUAAGGCCUUAGUUGUCUCACUUACAGAUAAUGAAUCUGAGACCAGUGAUAGGCAGGAAUCUUCUAGUAGUGAGGACGAAGGAAACUAUAUGGCAUUUGUAUCGACUGUUAGAGUGAAUCUGACAAAGAAAGUGACAAGGUUGAGGAAGAACUUCCUAACGAUAAUUCUAGUAAUGAGG
rnacentral:lncRNA from 1 species